rnacentral:rRNA from 1 species
CGCCGCGUGAGGGAUGACGGCCUUCGGGUUGUAAACCUCUUUCAGUAGGGAAGAAGCGAAAGUGACGGUACCUGCAGAAGAAGCACCGGCUAACUACGUGCCAGCAGCCGCGGUAAUACGUAGGGUGCGAGCGUUAUCCGGAAUUAUUGGGCGUAAAGAGCUCGUAGGCGGUUUGUCGCGUCUGUCGUGAAAGUCCGGGGCUUAACCCCGGAUCUGCGGUGGGUACGGGCAGACUAGAGUGCAGUAGGGGAGACUGGAAUUCCUGGUGUAGCGGUGGAAUGCGCAGAUAUCAGGAGGAACACCGAUGGCGAAGGCAGGUCUCUGGGCUGUAACUGACGCUGAGGAGCGAAAGCAUGGGGAGCGAACAGGAUUAGAUACCCUGGUAGUCCAUGCCGUAAACGUUGGGCACUAGGUGUGGGGACCAUUCCACGGUUUCCGCGCCGCAGCUAACGCAUUAAGUGCCCCGCCUGGGGAGUACGGCCGCAAGGCUAAAACUCAAAGGAAUUGACGGGGGCCCGCACAAGCGGCGGAGCAUGCGGAUUAAUUCGAUGCAACGCGAAGAACCUUACCAAGGCUUGACAUGUUCUCGAUCGCCGUAGAGAUACGGUUUCCCCUUUGGGGCGGGAUCACAGGUGGUGCAUGGUUGUCGUCAGCUCGUGUCGUGAG